GACGAACGCUGGCGGCGUGCUUAACACAUGCAAGUCGAACGGAAAGGCACUGCAUUUGUGGGGUGCUCGAAUGGCGAACGGGUGAGUAACACGUGUGUAACCUGCCCUUGACUUUGGGAUAACUACAGGAAACUGGGGCUAAUAACGGAUCGUAGCUUCGGCUGCAUGGUGGGGGUUGGAAAGUUUCGGCGGUUGGGGAUGGAUGCGCGGCUUAUCAGCUUGUUGGUGGGGUAGUGGCUUACCAAGGCUUGGCCGGGUAGCCGGCAUGGGAGGGUGACCGGCCACAUUGGGACUGAGAUACGGCCCAGACUCCUACGGGAGGCAGCAGUGGGGAAUAUUGCACAAUGGGCGGAAGCCUGAUGCAGCAACGCCGCGUGCGGGAUGACGGCCCUCGGGUUGUAAACCGCUUUCGCCUGAGACGAAGCGUGAGUGACGGUAAUGGGUAAAGAAGCACCGGCUAACUACGUG
rnacentral:rRNA from 1 species